CCCCCUUGCUUCAAGGAACAGCACUGUGUCCCAGAGUCACAGUCCCUCUUCAUAACUCCUGCAAUUUCCCCCGUAAUUCUUUAUUCUUAACACUCACUUGACCCAGUCAGGCAUCUUCAGAGACCUUCGGAAGAGAGGAAUGGGAAAGAAUAUUCUCCAUCUCUCCAUCCAUCUGCCUGCAGGAGAUGAAACAAAGGAGAAAAAGAAAAGUGCACGCAUUCGGGAGAAACUCUGUGAAUUAUGCAACGCAAAAACCACCGCCUUUACAAUUUAGGGCAUUUCUUAGAUGUGAGAGAUGUGAGAUCCAGCUGCUGAAGGAGAGCCAGGAGCUGCAGGGAGGGUGAUUACCUGUGGUGGAGGACUGUGCAGGUAAAACAAUUCUUUUGCAGCCUGCCCACGGGCAGACGGGAAUGACUGCAGGAACUGCAGGGUGCUGGUUUUGCACAAGCUGGGAUCUCUGCUCAGCCCUGAACUUGGGGCCCUCUGCCCUGCUCUGAGCCGGGUAAGAGCUGGGCAGAACACCCCUCCUCUCCACAUCCGUAGGCAGUAGCCAGCUCAGCCUCUGUGGUACUUGGGAGCCUCCUCUUUCCUGUAAGGGUGCUGUGACUAGACUGCUCCAAUACCUCUCCCUCUCAUGAUCACUCGCUCUGCUCAGGAACCUGUCUUCACCCCCUCCCAAAUGAAUGCUUGCCUCACCACACAGCUGGGAAUGCUCUGUUUAUUC